rnacentral:piRNA from 1 species
UAUGAGUCAAUAUAAUGCAACAGGGUGUU